rnacentral:rRNA from 1 species
CCCUUAGAUGUUCUGGGCUGCACGCGCGCUACACUGAUGCGCUCAACAAGUUUAUGACCUUGCCCGGAAGGGUUGGGUAAUCUUCUUAGCACGCAUCGUGAUGGGGAUAGAUUAUUGCAAUUAUUAAUCUUCAACGAGGAAUUCCUAGUAAGCGCGAGUCAUCAGCUCGUGCUGAUUACGUCCCUGCCCUUUGUACACACCGCCCGUCGCUCCUACCGAUUGAAUGCUCAGGUGAGCCAUUCGGACUUUCAUCAUGCUGGUUUCCAGUUUUGAUGAAGGAAAGUCUUGCGAACCUUAUCAUUUAGAGGAAGGAGAAGUCGUAACA